rnacentral:misc_RNA from 1 species
GAAAAAAAUUAUGCAAGAAUACAUUGGACAUGAGAAAAAGAGGGAUGGAGAAUAAUAUAUAAGUUUCAACUAUAUUUUUUUACUUAUAAAAACAUUGAAAAUCAUCAGCUGGAUAAGAUCGAUCAUGGGUUGAAAACAGAGACAUCGAUCCAUUAACCAAGAAUUUGAGCUUAAUUAUGAUUUCAGCCCUGAAGAAAGGAAAAGAAAAGGGCCCAAUUUUUUGCAUGAUAAAGCGUAAUCAAAUGUCCCUUGAGAUUAACCUAUCCACUCGUCUUCCAAUCCCCUCUUUGCUACCCCAAUUUCCUUUCAAACAGGCCCUCACAGUCGUCGUCAUGGCUCCCAGGAAGAGGGUAAUUAAUUAAUAUUUACUACUAUUUUUAACAGCCCUUUUCACUUCUUGAUUUCACCGAAAUGGUAAGGGUAUUUUUGUUUAUUUUGAUUGCUAUGAAAAUGCAAUUGAUCUCUAUGUAAUUGAUACAGGUGAACAAG